rnacentral:rRNA from 1 species
GUCGACCUCAAAUCAAACAAGAUUACCCCCUGAAUUUAA